GAUGAACGCUGGCGGCGUGCCUAAUACAUGCAAGUCGAGCGAAUGGAUUAAGAGCUUGCUCUUAUGAAGUUAGCGGCGGACGGGUGAGUAACACGUGGGUAACCUGCCCAUAAGACUGGGAUAACUCCGGGAAACCGGGGCUAAUACCGAAUAACAUUUUGAACCGCAUGGUUCGAAAUUGAAAGGCGGCUUCGGCUGUCACUUAUGGAUGGACCCGCGUCGCAUUAGCUAGUUGGUGAGGUAACGGCUCACCAAGGCAACGAUGCGUAGCCGCCCUGAGUGGGUGAUCGGCCACACUGGGACUGAGACACGGCCCAGACUCCUACGGGAGGCAGCAGUAGGGAAUCUUCCGCAAUGGACGAAAGUCUGACGGAGCAACGCCGCGUGAGUGAUGAAGGCUUUCGGGUCGUAAAACUCUGUUGUUAGGGAAGAACAAGUGCUAGUUGAAUAAGCUGGCACCUUGACGGUACCUAACCAGAAAGCCACGGCUAACUACGUGCCAGCAGCCGCAGUAA
rnacentral:rRNA from 1 species